AUUAAUCCUAUGCUAAAACCCUAAUUGUUGAGUCUAUAAAUCUCCAUUGUUCACUUCAAUAAUUUGGGGAUCAACCCCCAAUGUAGCUGAAUCAUUAUUUUGCCACUUUUCAGGAUUGGUGUUUGCCCAUUGUUCUUCUUCUGUUUGGUAAAACAUUUGGAGUACUCCAUAGUUCACAAGUCGACUUGUAUAUCAAGUAUAGCUCCCACACCUGGACCAGGCUUAAAAAUGACGCGUCUUCUCUUUUCAGGGUUAGACUCUAUAAGAACCAGAACAAUAGUCUCAUUGACUGUGGUCAGGUCAGAGCCCUCUAUUGUCUGUUGGAGGAGAUUGAUUGGACUUUAUACCGCACCUUACUUAGUCUUCCGCUGGAACUGGAUUCUCUAAAGCUAUAAGGAAUUUACUUUUCUAAAUCUAAAAAGGAGAAAAAACAAUUUCAUCUAUAUCAUCUGGCACUGCUUUACUUGGUGACUCAAUGAUGUUGAGAGCUUUGACUGGUGGAAUGACAUGUAAAGCUCUAAUUGUACUUUUGUUGAAUACAAUUUAUCAGUAACAAAUUUGGUCCAUUUGAGCUUCUUGUUAUACAAUUUAUUUAGUUUGAUCCA